rnacentral:rRNA from 1 species
GAUGAACGCUGGCGGCGUGCCUAAUACAUGCAAGUCGAGCGAACGGACGAGAAGCUUGCUUCUCUGAUGUUAGCGGCGGACGGGUGAGUAACACGUGGAUAACCUACCUAUAAGACUGGGAUAACUUCGGGGAACCGGAGCUAAUACCGGAUAAUAUUUUGAACCGCAUGGUUCAAAAGUGAAAGACGGUCUUGCUGUCACUUAUAGAUGGAUCCGCGCUGCAUUAGCUAGUUGGUAAGGUAACGGCUUACCAAGGCAACGAUGCAUAGCCGACCUGUGAGGGUGAUCGGCCACACUGGAACUGAGACACGGUCCAGACUCCUACGGGAGGCAGCAGUAGGGAAUCUUCCGCAAUGGGCGAAAGCCUGACGGAGCAACGCCGCGUGAGUGAUGAAGGUCUUCGGAUCGUAAAACUCUGUUAUUAGGGAAGAACAUAUGUGUAAGUAACUGUGCACAUCUUGACGGUACCUAAUCAGAAAGCCACGGCUAACUACGUG